UCCUGGCCUCCAGGCCCAGCCCAAAGCCGAGGCUGCCUGCCCCAUCGAGACCCUGGAGAGGUGACAGAGCACUAAACUGGGAGUCCCUGGGAUGGCACCUCCGUUUGCAGUUCUGAGUUGCCGUGUGACCUUGGGAGCGGGAGCCUCAAAGCUGAACAAUUCCCAGCGGGCGGACAGCCCACAUCAGUCAUGACCAAGCACCUAGCACGUGACAGGCACUCGAGUUACAGAGGAGGAUAAGAAGCCCCUACGUCUUUCAAGGAGGCUUCCAGUCUAACCCAGAGGUCAACUGUGAUAACAAAUCCUUUCUCAAUCCAGGCAGCCACUACCCACCAAUUGGCCC